GAGCUCUGAGCCCCAGCAUGCUGGACCCCCAAUAAACCCUCUGCUGUUGCAUGAGACAGUCUCUUGGUGGUCUCUUCUUCCGACACUCGCCCGACCUUAACAAUUUUAUGGGAUAAUUUGAGGGAGACUGGUGUUAGUUCUUUUUUAGAAGUCUGGUAGAACUCUGCUGAGAAUUCCUCUGAUCCUGGGCUUUUCUUUGUUGACACUUAUCAAUGUCUUCAAAGAUGUACAAAAUGGCACGUGAGCACUUGGCAAAUUCUCUUCAAGAACUUGUAGAUGAAGAAUUGAAGAAGUUUAAGAGCAAACUUACUUAUGUCGAGCUAAAAAAAAAACUUAAGAAUAUUCCUAGGGGGGAGAUUAAGAAAGUCUCCGAUCAUGAAGAUCUUGCUGAAAUCCUGGUCAACCAUUACGGGUCAUGGAAUGCAGUGAAGGUUACCAUGAAAAUCCUGAAAAAAAUUCACCAGAGACACGUGGCUGAGAGGCUCCUUUAUGAUAUCAAGGAAAAUGAUAAAAAAAAUAAGGAAAAAGAGGAUGAUGAAACA